rnacentral:rRNA from 1 species
UACGUAGGGGGCGAGCGUUGUCCGGAAUGACUGGGCGUAAAGGGUGCGUAGGCGGCCCGAGAGGUCCUGGGUGAAAGGCCCCGGCUCAACCGGGGAGGGCCCCAGGAAACCGGCGGGCUAGAGGGCUGGAGAGGGCCGCGGAAUUCCCGGUGUAGCGGUGAAAUGCGUAGAUAUCGGGAGGAACAUCAGUGGCGAAGGCGGCUGCCUGGCCCAAUACUGACACUCAGGUGCGACAGCGUGGGGAGCAAACAGG